UGGGUGUUAAAAAAUGUCUGAGUCUACUUUUUUCUGCCCUCGACUGUGAUGAAAUCGAUUCUUGCUGAAGAGGUUUCGUGCAGCCCACAGAGGAACACUGCGGCCAUCAAUAACCACAGGCCGGGGAUGGAAAACGGGACAGAAAGGAGAAGCACACAGGGCUGAGCAAACUCGAGGUUCCUCCAACCCAGCGCCUCAUGAACAGGCUGGAGACACCGGGUUCAAAUCUCCCUGCUGUCCUCUGGAGGCCUGUGACCUGCCAGCUGUCCUCUCACGUUCCUGCAGAAGACACUCGCUGUUGAGAACCUCCAGGACAACGUUCUUGGCAUGGGACGCUCGGCAGAGAACGCCAACGAGGUCUGCAUGGAGGAACCUACCUUGCAGUGUCACUGGGAGUCUGGAGCAUGGGGUGACAAGAUGCCGCUCAUGACAUCCUACAGGGCAGGGCUGGUGCUGGAGGAGGUGAGUUCACUCAUCGGGCUGUAUGGUGGGAGUGGGUGGAGCCUGGGUGCACUUCAGGGGGCUGGGACAGCCCCACAGGAAUCAGGGCGGUGUCUGCACUUCCGGCUGGGCGCUCCAUCUGGGACAGGCUGUGCCUGCAGCACCUUUUGCCCACACAAGCGGGUGUGUGUGGAAGGCAGCUGGAGAGAAGCCUGGGGCCUCAGGAGAGACGCGGCGAGCUGGGAGGCGCCUGGGGUCUGCGCCUGCGCCCCGGCGGAGCUCCCGCCCUGUCCCAAGCAGACACUCAGGAAACGUCAGGAAGCGGCCAGCAGCCCUUCCUUCUCUUGGGGACACAGAGGGGGGAGGCUGUCCUGUGUCGGGGCAGCAAGGGGACCAGCACGAACGGAGGCAAGGAGGGAGGCAGCGCGGGGGACGUCUGGAGACAAGGUCGGGCCUGGAACACCCAGAGAACAGACUGGAGGACUGCAGCGGGAGGAAAACUUGGACUGGCUGUUUGGAUGUGUGCCUGCAGGCCUUGAUGGGGAAAAAUAAGUGCCCAGCACUCCAGGCUAAGACAAGCUACUAUACUUUAUCACCAAGUCGAGCUGAGGUUCCAGGUAGCCAAGGCAAAAAGCGAAACAUGAAAAGGAAAAACAACCUCCCUCGUGACAAAGGGCUCAGAGCACGCCCUCCGGAGCCCAGCCCGAGACUCAAUCAUGCCUCUGUCUCUUACCAGCUACCUAGUUGCUUUGGCAUAGGUAUUGGUCGGCCUCAGUGUAAUUCUGUAAAAUACGACAAAUACCAGCGUCCACUUCACAGGGUUGUUGUAGGAAUGAAACCAGCUGACACUUAGGAGGAGCUGAGAGCCUAGCGCAUGAACCGCCAACGAAAGUUAGAAACCGUUUCAUCACUGCCUUCCCUGGCUGAAUUCUUUUGUAGCCCAGGCUGGUCUUGAACUCACAGUGAUCCUCCUGCCUCAGCCUCCCACCGGCAUGCACCACACCCAGCAGUCCCUGGCUGAAUUCUAAAAUGUGUUCACAGAAAGACCCCCGAGCUACCUAGGGGGCAGCACUAGCGAUACGUUGGGUGGCUGUGUCUCAGUGGCUGUGGCUCAGGCUCCUGGAUGGAGCCCGGUCAAGGAGCGUGCUGCCAGGGAGCGGGCAUGGCCAGGUCUGAGCUUCCUGGCCGCCCUCUGGGCCAGAGAAGGGCGGAGAAAGGAAGGCGUCUCCUCCCCAUUCAGGUUGCCCUCUGGCCUGGCUCUGGGCCUGAGCCGUUUCCUGCUUCCUGACUCUUCCGCACACUCACGCUAUUUCUCAUAUUGUCCCCCUGCCCAGAACACCUCUUCCUUCCAGAACCCUCCUGGCAGACUCCUAUGCGUCCUUCAAAACUCCCUUCCAGAGGGACCGCUCCUUUCUGCAGGCUUCCAGGCACCUCUGCAGGGGACCCUGCACCUCCGUCUGUAAGAUUCGGAGUGGUGACAGUUGUCUUGAUGAUGAUGGUAGCUUCCCCAAGCACUACGUGAACUGCUUUACACACAUUAUUUCUAUCAGGGUCUU